rnacentral:rRNA from 1 species
AUGAAGACCUGUAUGAAAGGCAUCACGAGAGUUUAACUGUCUCUAUUUUCCAAUCAAUGAAAUUGAUCUUCUCGUGCAGAAGCGAGAAUAUAACCAUUAGACGAGAAGACCCUAUGGAGCUUCAAACACUUAAAUUAAUUAUGUAGAAUUAUAAUCCCACGGGAGAAAAUCAUUUAUACAAUAUUCCUAAUUUAACUGUU